GAUGAACGCUAGCGGCAGGCCUAAUACAUGCAAGUCGGACGGGAUUUGGGAGCUUGCUCCUAAUGAGAGUGGCGCACGGGUGCGUAACACGUAUGUAGCCUACCUUCGUACAGGGGGAUAGCCUCUCGAAAGAGAGAUUAAGACCGCAUAACAUUAUUGAAUAGCAUUAUUUAAUAAUCAAAUAUUUAUAGGACGAAGAUGGGCAUGCGGAACAUAGCUAGUUGGUAAGGUAACGGCUUACCAAGGCUACGAUG
rnacentral:rRNA from 1 species